rnacentral:misc_RNA from 1 species
AAAGUCGUAACAAGGUUUCCGUAGGUGAACCUGCGGAAGGAUCAUUACCGAAUGAACUGCACCAUCCUGUAGCAGAACCAUUGGCAAUCCCCAUGGCCGGAUGAUCAGUCUGACAGAGGUUGGCCUAUUCCGAAUGGCUAUAGGUUGCUGCAGGGGAGCUGCGCAACCCUAACACCAAGUGGUUUGGUGGCGCCAUUUUGGCCAUGCUGGAUGUUGGAUGUGUACGGCCCUCUGGGUCCUUUGGUCUGCUACGCUUAUCAAACCCGUCAUUGUAUGUAUGGUGGGGUGGCAUCCCACCUUUUGUUGGGUUGCCCCUCAAUUAUGUAAAGAUGAAUAUAACUUUCAACAACGGAUCUCUUGGCUCUC